rnacentral:rRNA from 1 species
UACAGAGGUCUCAAGCGUUUGUUCGGAUUCAGUUGGGCGUAAAGGGUGCGUAGGCGGCGCGGUAAGUUCGGGUGUGAAAUCUCGGAGCUUAACUCCGAAACUGCAUUCGAUACUGCCGUGCUUGAGGACUGGAGAGGAGACUGGAAUUUACGGUGUAGCGGUGAAAUGCGUAGAUAUCGUAAGGAAGACCAGUGGCGAAGGCGGGUCUCUGGACAGUUCCUGACGCUGAGGCACGGAAGGUCAGGGGGAGCAAAACGGG